rnacentral:rRNA from 1 species
AUUGAACGCUGGCGGAAUGCUUUACACAUGCAAGUCGAGCGGCAGCGCGGGGGCAACCCUGGCGGCGAGCGGCGAACGGGUGAGUAACAUAUCGGAACGUACCCAGUCGUGGGGGAUAACUAUCCGAAAGGAUAGCUAAUACCGCAUACGUCCUGAGGGAGAAAGCGGGGGAUCGCAAGACCUCGCGCGAUUGGAGCGGCCGAUAUCGGAUUAGCUAGUUGGUGGGGUAAAGGCUCACCAAGGCGACGAUCCGUAGCGGGUCUGAGAGGACGACCCGCCACACUGGAACUGAGACACGGGCCCGACUCCUACGGGAGGCAGCAGUAGGGAAUAUUGGACAAUGGGCGCAAGCCUGAUCCAGCCAUCCCGCGUGAAGGAUUAAGGCCCUCUGGGUUGUAAACUUCUUUUCUUUGGGAAUAAAAACUACCGUUUCUACGGAGCUUGAAGGUACCAGAGGAAUAAGCACCGGCUAACUCCGUG